GCCGCCGCGCACCUCCUCCUUUGUCACAAUGUUUUUCAAUCCGGUGAAGCAAACUGUCCAAUUAGAGCCGGGGCCUCCAGCUUCCAUCUUUGCCGACGUUUAAUUAACAUGCUCCUCUUGGCAGCUGCUGACAAGUUCCAGAAACAGCUCCGUGUGCGCAGGUGCGCAUGUCUCCUGGUCUCUACGCUCACGUCUGCUGACGUCAGGCACCUGCGAGGCCCUACACGUGCGCAAACACCCCUGCCGGGGUCUGUGGGCCUGCAAGAGCACCAGCUGACCCCCUCUGAGGGCCGACCUGCACCCGGUACCGUGCUGCCCGCUGCGGGGAGGAUUUCUGUCCGUCUCCACAGCAAGCCCAGGAGGAAGCCUUCCUGGAUCCUCCACGCAGAUGUGGUGUCCACCUCCAGACCCUUAUCUCUCAC